UACGUAGGGGGCAAGCGUUGUCCGGAAUCAUUGGGCGUAAAGCGCGUGUAGGCGGCCCGAUAAGUCCGCUGUGAAAGUCCAGGGCUCAACCCUGGGAUGCCGGUGGAUACUGUCGGGCUCGAGUCCGGAAGAGGCGAGUGGAAUUCCUGGUGUAGCGGUGAAAUGCGUAGAGAUCCGGAGGAAUACCAGUGGCGCAGGCGGCGCUCUGGGUCACACCUGACACUGAGAUACGAAGGCAUGGGGAGCGAACGGG
rnacentral:rRNA from 1 species